AGAGUUGAUCAUGGCUCAGAACGAACGCUGGCGGCAUGCCUAACACAUGCAAGUCGAACGAGACCUUCGGGUCUAGUGGCGCACGGGUGCGUAACGCGGGGGAAUCUGCCCUUGGGUUCGGAAUAACAGCGAGAAAUUGCUGCUAAUACCGGAUGAUGACGUAAGUCCAAAGAUUUAUCGCCCAAGGAUGAGCCCGCGUAGGAUUAGCUAGUUGGUGAGGUAAAGGCUCACCAAGGCGACGAUCCUUAGCUGGUCUGAGAGGAUGAUCAGCCACACUGGGACUGAGACACGGCCCAGACUCCUUCGGGAGGCAGCAGUGGGGAAUAUUGGACAAUGGGCGAAAGCCUGAUCCAGCAAUGCCGCGUGAGUGAUGAAGGCCUUAGGGUUGUAAAGCUCUUUUACCCGGGAUGAUAAUGACAGUACCGGGAGAAUAAGCUCCGGCUAACUCCGUG
rnacentral:rRNA from 1 species